rnacentral:rRNA from 1 species
AGAGUUUGAUCCUGGCUCAGAUUGAACGCUGGCGGCAGGCCUAACACAUGCAAGUCGAACGGUAACAGGAAGAAGCUUGCUUCUUUGCUGACGAGUGGCGGACGGGUGAGUAAUGUCUGGGAAACUGCCUGAUGGAGGGGGAUAACUACUGGAAACGGUAGCUAAUACCGCAUAACGUCGCAAGACCAAAGAGGGGGACCUUCAGGCCUCUUGCCAUCGGAUGCGCCCAGAUGGGAUUAGCUAGUAGGUGGGGUAACGGCUCACCUAGGCGACGAUCCCUAGCUGGUCUGAGAGGACGACCAGCCACACUGGAACUGAGACACGGUCCAGACUCCUACGGGAGGCAGCAGUGGGGAAUAUUGCACAAUGGGCGCAAGCCUGAUGCAGCCAUGCCGCGUGUAUGAAGAAGGCCUUCGGGUUGUAAAGUACUUUCAGCGGGGAGGAAGGGAGUAAAGUUAAUACCUUUGCUCAUUGACGUUACCCGCAGAAGAAGCACCGGCUAACUCCGUGCCAGCAGCCGCGGUAAUACGGAGGGUGCAAGCGUUAAUCGGAAUUACUGGGCGUAAAGCGCACGCAGGCGGUUUGUUAAGUCAGAUGUGAAAUCCCCGGGCUCAACCUGGGAACUGCAUCUGAUACUGGCAAGCUUGAGUCUCGUAGAGGGGGGUAGAAUUCCAGGUGUAGCGGUGAAAUGCGUAGAGAUCUGGAGGAAUACCGGUGGCGAAGGCGGCCCCCUGGACGAAGACUGACGCUCAGGUGCGAAAGCGUGGGGAGCANACAGGAUUAGAUACCCUGGUAGUCCACGCCGUAAACGAUGUCGACUUGGAGGUUGUGCCCUUGAGGCGUGGCUUCCGGAGCUAACGCGUUAAGUCGACCGCCUGGGGAGUACGGCCGCAAGGUUAAAACUCAAAUGAAUUGACGGGGGCCCGCACAAGCGGUGGAGCAUGUGGUUUAAUUCGAUGCAACGCGAAGAACCUUACCUGGUCUUGACAUCCACAGAACUUUCCAGAGAUGGAUUGGUGCCUUCGGGAACCGUGAGACAGGUGCUGCAUGGCUGUCGUCAGCUCGUGUUGUGAAAUGUUGGGUUAAGUCCCGCAACGAGCGCAACCCUUAUCCUUUGUUGCCAGCGGUCCGGCCGGGAACUCAAAGGAGACUGCCAGUGAUAAACUGGAGGAAGGUGGGGAUGACGUCAAGUCAUCAUGGCCCUUACGACCAGGGCUACACACGUGCUACAAUGGCGCAUACAAAGAGAAGCGACCUCGCGAGAGCAAGCGGACCUCAUAAAGUGCGUCGUAGUCCGGAUUGGAGUCUGCAACUCGACUCCAUGAAGUCGGAAUCGCUAGUAAUCGUGGAUCAGAAUGCCACGGUGAAUACGUUCNCCGGGCCUUGUACACACCGCCCGUC